UAAACCCCAUACAUUUCUUCCUUCGCUGAUUUUCUUAAAUCGAAUUUUACAUUCAAAAACCUACCUCAUACCACGGAAUAAAUACAAUUUAAUUUCAUCGAAAAUCAUUUAUUCAGUAAUAACAGUGAUAGUACUGUAUUGAUAAUAUUUAUGCUAUCCCCCUAUAGAAAAUUAUUCAAAACCCUUCCCGAAAAAAAAUCCCGCAUGCGCUACUGAUAUUAGGUAA